AUGGCAUACCGGCUGGGACCUGUGUUUGGAAUUCAAAAGUUGAGGGUUCGAUUCCCAGCUGGAUUGUACACAUUCAGAAGGCUUUUCCUGGACUGUUUGGACACCAUCACUUUGACCUCCUCCCCCGCACAGGUGUGGUCACCUGGAGGGUCGGUGAAGGUGUCCUGUCAGGUUUCUGGGUACGCCCUGACAGACUACGGCACAAGCUGGAUGCGGAAGCGUCCGGGGAACGCCAUGGAGUGGAUGGGAAUCAUGUGGGGAGGGGGAAGCAUUGAUUCUCCAGCAUCAUUCAAGAGCCGUUUCACCAUCUCCAGAGACAGCAGCAACGUGCUGUACUUAGAUAUUAGCAGCCUGCAGUCUGAGGACACAGCUGUGUAUUACUGUGCCCGACGCACACAGUGCAGCAAACCCACACUGAUGAGUUUCUCAGUAAAACACAACCAUCACGUGGAGACAGAAUAA